ACAGCUGUGGUUUCCCUGCUCUGCAGCACCUGGAGAGGGUGGGGCAGGGACGGCUCUCCUGAAUUCCAGUCGCUUGGGCCAUUUCUGGUGAGCUCCCUUCCAAAGAACCCAAGCCCAACCUGAAAGAUACCCAAGUCCAACUUGCAGGAGACAGUAAGGACCAGAAACCCAGUUGUUUCCUUCAUCCUUCUAGCUGUGUGUGGCUGUGUGCAGAGAAUUUUUCAGAGCAGGACCUCACUCCUGAAAUGUGUAUACCCUGAGUCCUCACAGAGGGUGUCUACAUGUGUCCCGCAUUUUCAUAAGGAUCACCCAGGCAGAGACAUAGGUCCUCUGGCUGCUCACAGUCACAGUGAUGGUGGCAAAGAUGUCCUCAGGGACCCCAGAAGCAAAAACUGCCAUCUUUCUAGAGGGGUGGAGAAGACUUCAAAGAAGAGUUCUGAAGGUCAUAAGUCCAGGAUCUGUCUCUCUGGGCUAAAACCAAAGCAUCAGCACUGCUGGGUCGCUGCCGUCUGCUAUGACAGCCUUACUCAACAUCAGCUGUACAAAAACAGGCCAGCGGCUGGACUUGGACCAUUACCUUCUGACCGUUGGGAUAGAGAAUGAGUAUUUUGAUGUGGGGGUUAGCCCUGACGUUCAGCCCUACUUUAUUUAUGUCAUGUACUGUGGAUUUCUGGAGACCAGAUCCAUGAAUCCUUUUUGAAUUCUGACAGGUAUUUAGAUCAUGAUCUUAAUGGUAUUGUUGCAAAUGGCAUAAUGUUUUGUAAAAAGAAUCUGUGAAUAACCAUGUUUGUGCUAUAAGCGUUAUGUAUUUCAAAAAUUGAUGUCUCAUAAAAACUUAAAAAAAGAAAAUAUUAAGCUUAAUAAAAGGAGCCAGACA